GGUCCGAACCCACGAGCGUUGAAAAGCUCGGGGAUGACUUGUGGGUAGCGGUGAAAUUCCAAUCGAGCCCGGAGAUAGCUGGUUCUCCCCGAAAUAGCUUUAGGGCUAGCCUCAAGGUGAGAGAUACGGAGGUAGAGCACUGAAUGUCCUAGGGGGUAUUGCACCUACCGAAGACUAUCAAACUCCGAAUGCCGUCAUCUUAUACUUGGGAGUCAGACUGUGGGUGAUAAGAUUCAUAGUCGAAAGGGCAACAGCCCAGAUCGUCAGCUAAGGUCCCUAAAUGUAAGUUAAGUGGUAAAGGAUGUGGGAUUGCACAGACAACCAGGAUGUUGGCUUAGAAGCAGCCACUCAUUCAAAGAGUGCGUAAUAGCUCACUGGUCGAGUGAUCCUGCGCCGAAGAUUUCCGGGGCUAAAACUUACUACCGAAGCUACGGCAUCAGUAAUGAUGGGUAGGGGAGCUUCCCAUACGGGUUGAAGCAUGACCGUAAGGACAUGUGGACAGUAUGGGAGUGAGAAUGUUGGCAUGAGUAGCGAGAUGUGGGUGAGAAUCCCACAGGCCGUAAACCCAAGGUGUCCAGGGGAAGGUUCGUCCGCCCUGGGUUAGUCGGGACCUAAGCUGAGGCCGAAAGGCGUAGGUGAUGGACAACAGGUUGAUAUUCCUGUACUACCGAUAACCGUUUGAGAGAAGGGAUGACACAGUAGGAUAAGCUAAGCACACUGUUGGUUAUGUGUGCCCAAGCAUUGAGGCAGUCAAAGUAGGCAAAUCCGCUUUGAUAAUGCUGGGAUGUGAUGGGGAGCGAAAUUUAGUAGCGAA
rnacentral:rRNA from 1 species